UACGAAGGGGGCUAGCGUUGCUCGGAAUCACUGGGCGUAAAGCGCACGUAGGCGGAUUGUUAAGUCAGGGGUGAAAUCCUGGAGCUCAACUCCAGAACUGCCUUUGAUACUGGCGAUCUCGAGUCCGGAGAGGUGAGUGGAACUGCGAGUGUAGAGGUGAAAUUCGUAGAUAUUCGCAAGAACACCAGUGGCGAAGGCGGCUCACUGGCCCGGUACUGACGCUGAGGUGCGAAAGCGUGGGGAGCAAACAGGA
rnacentral:rRNA from 1 species